UUCCUCUUGGUCAUUUAGAGGAAGUAAAAGUCGUAACAMGGUUUCCGUAGGUGAACCUGCGGAAGGAUCAUUAUCGUACAAAAUUGUGUGAGGCAUGCUCGGGCUGUCGCUGACUCGAAAGAGUCGUGCACGUCGGAGUGUGUCCUCUCACAUAAUAAUCCAUCUCACCCUUUGUGCACCACCGCGUGGGCACCCUUCGGGAUCAGACCGAUCUCGGAGGGGGCUUGCGUUUUCACACAAACCCCCUUUUUAAAAGUGUAGAAUGACCUCAUUUAUGCAAUCAAUACAACUUUCAACAACGGAUCUCUUGGCUCUCGCAUCGAUGAAGAACGCAGCGAAAUGCGAUACGUAAUGUGAAUUGCAGAAUUCAGUGAAUCAUCGAAUCUUUGAACGCACCUUGCGCCCCUUGGUAUUCCGAGGGGCACACCCGUUUGAGUGUCGUGAAAACCUCAACCUCCUUGGUUUCUUCUGGAGACCAAAGGAGGCUUGGACUUUGGAGGCCUUUGCUGGCGUCUCUCUUUUGAAGGCCAGCUCCUCUCAAACAAAUUAGCGGGGUCCUCUUUGCCGAUCCUCGACAUGUGAUAAGAUGUUUCCGUGUCUUGGUUUCUGGCUCUGUUGCUUUUGGGAUCCGCUUCAAACCGUCUCGAGCUUGCAUCGAGACAAUGUUCGAGCUUGUCUCCCUUCUCGGGAAACUCUCUCGACCCCACGAACCCUUGGCCUCAAAUCGGGUGAGACUACCCGCUGAACUUAAGCAUAUCAAUAGGCCGGAGGAA
rnacentral:rRNA from 1 species